rnacentral:lncRNA from 1 species
UUGGCCAGGUUGGUCUUGAACUCGUGGCCUCAAGUGAUCUGCCCACCUCAGCCUCCAAAAGUGCUGGGAUUACAGACAGCAACAGUUCAAGUUUGAUGAAAACUGGAAGAAAAUAUUUUAAUAAACGUUUGGGUUAGAGGUAAAAAUUAGUGGUCAGUAGAACACCCAAGAAAGGAAACAGCCUCCCUGCACUGUUUGGGGGUGGUAGCUGGCAGGCACCUAAAAACACACCAGUUUUUGAAAACUUCUCUAGCUUUCUCACUGUGUUACUUUCACACUGUGCUAUGGUUUGAAUGUUUGUGUGCCCCCAAAAGUGAUACAUUGAAACCUCAUCUCCAAUAUGAUGACAUGAGCAAGUGGGAGUUUUAAGAGAUGAGGUCAUGAGGGCAGAGACUUAAUCAAUAAAAUUAGUAACUUUAUAAAAGAGGCCCCAGAGAACCUCACGGCCACUUCCACCAUGUGAAGACACAGCAAGACGCUGCAAUCUAUGAACCAAGAAAUGGGCCCUCACCAGACACUGCAUCUGCCUGUGUCUUGAUCUUGGACUUCCCAGCUUCUAGAACUGUAAGAAAUCAAUUUCUGUUGUGUAUCAGCCACCCAGUCUAUGGUAUCGUAGCCCAAAUGGACUAAGACACACUGCUUUCUCAAAUAUUCUUUCUCAUAGUCUCAACAACCAUUGUGUCAAUGUAUUGCCUUCAAACACUUUGAAACGUUGACAUUUUCGGAGACUGUGCCAAAAAGGAGGAAAUAUCCCUUAAGCCAGGCUUCCAUCCUGAAUUCUACACACAAGAUGAAGAGAAGAGAUUCUUUUACUCCUUCCAGAAAGGGGUGAAAGAAGGAAAGAGGAAGCUAAUAGGAACAGAAAAGCUGUGACCUGCCCAUGUGACCAUUCCCUGCCACCUCCAAAUGGUCACCAAGCAUUUCCAGAAAUACCUCAUGAAUGCUCUGAGUUGCUCCAUCUACAUGAUAGGGAGUUCUACGUGGGAUUCCUUGCAAGCAGCUCUGAUGGCAGGAGGGGAGACCAUGGGAAAAGGAGCACUGGGGCUGGCAGAAAUCUACAAGGAUAGUUUUGGAUUUCGACAGCCUGUGGCCUUAGCAGGGAAUCUGUGUAAACUCUGCCGGGAAUCCCAAGAAAUGAGGCAGUGAAGGAGUGGGGGUGGGGUCUCUGCUAACUUCUGAAACUGUGGUGAAAUGAGCAGAAUUGCCUGGAAGCUGCUCUGGAAGCUCAUUCAAGGUUACCUGGGCCAGCCAGCUGGAACUGCAAGUAAGCCUAUUCCUGGUGGAAGGAGCUCAGCCUCCACAGCAUGGGCAGACUCCCUCCUCACACAGGGUGACUGCACCUUCCCACAGGCCCAAGGUCUCCAAAUACUGGGAAGCAGGAAUUCCUCCCAUCUCCUCUGAACCCCUGGCACCCUACAUCCAAGCUGCCCAGCACCCAAACCACUCAUGUGUUCCCUACUCACAGACUGGUUUCUUACAUUUAUUCCCUAACUAAUACAGCAGAACAUGGACCUAUCCUGCAGAUCCAGCUGAGACCCUGACCUUCACAUACUUCUCUAUGGGACGGAGAAUAGAAUGGGAGACUCCUGCUUCCCCUUUGCUUGUUGACCCAGCCUUGUAAGAUUUCACUUUCCCUAAUAAAACCCAAUCCGUAGCCC